rnacentral:rRNA from 1 species
AGUGAACGCUGGCGGUAGGCCUAACACAUGCAAGUCGAACGGCAGCACAGUAAGAGCUUGCUCUUACGGGUGGCGAGUGGCGGACGGGUGAGGAAUACAUCGGAAUCUACUUUUUCGUGGGGGAUAACGUAGGGAAACUUACGCUAAUACCGCAUACGACCUACGGGUGAAAGCAGGGGAUCUUCGGACCUUGCGCGAUUGAAUGAGCCGAUGUCGGAUUAGCUAGUUGGCGGGGUAAAGGCCCACCAAGGCGACGAUCCGUAGCUGGUCUGAGAGGAUGAUCAGCCACACUGGAACUGAGACACGGUCCAGACCCCUACGGGAGGCAGCAGUGGGGAAUAUUGGACAAUGGGCGAAAGCCUGAGCCAGCCAUACCGCGUGGGUGAAGAAGGCCUGCGGGUUGUAAAGCCCUUUUGUUGGGAAAGAAAAGCAGCAGGUUAAUACCCCGCUGUUCUGACGGAACCCAAAGAAUAAGCACCGGCUAACUUCGU